UCAGGCUAGGUGAAGAACUUCAAUGGCAUCUGCCAGCAUCUGUGUCACCAUGCCAGGACUAGGUCACAACAAGGGCCAUCACCAAAGUCCCAGUCUCUGGAAAGGUCUCAUCUCUCAGCAAGAUGCACCCAAAGCCUACCAGGUCAUUUCCAAUUUACAGAAGAGAGCAACGUCCACAGCUCAGUGAUGAAUUACAUACACUACAUAUGGUACAUUCUACAAAGAUAAACCCAACAAGAGAAAGGCUGAGUUCUUGCUGCUGCCUCCUGAAGACUCUCUGUUGUCCCUUCUGAAGAGCAGAGUUGGCAGUACUGGAUCCAGACUGUGUCUUUUAGAUUGGAGAGAUACCCAGAGUGCCCAGAGAUGAUGAACAUCUACAGAACAAACGACGAUCAAUGUAGAAGCUUCUGUGCUCAAAACAUCUACUGGUUCCCAUCAACUUUAAUAAAUGCCAAGUUUAUUAGUCUGCCUUUCAAGUUUCUUCAUAGUACAGUCUCAAUUUUCCUUUUUGUUUUUAUUUUAAUUUCUUGCCUACUACAAACUUAUGCAGAUGAAUUUUAGAUUGCAAAUAACAUUUGUUCUUACUUGAACUUAAUAACCAAAUAUCUCUAUUUGCUAACAUUUCACAUUGAACAAAGUCAGAAAACAUCCAAA
rnacentral:lncRNA from 1 species